GAUCCAGAAGAGAAGAGUGACAAAAAUGGAGUAAAGAAGGUGACCAAGCAUGGUGUGACCAUGCAUUGUUCAAUAUGUGGAGCAGCUGAUCAUAACAAAAAGGGACACCAUAAUCAUGUUGAUAAGACUCCAAAUGAAGAAGCUGUUAGGGAAUCUGAAGAAGAGUAUGAUGAUCCAUCAAUACUUGCUAACAUAAUGCCACACAGGGUAUACCCACAGCUGGAUCCAACACAAACACCUGAUUGUAUGGUGUACAAGAUGCAGGAACAGGAGAGGUUCACGUACCCACCCCCUAGGGAAUUUGCCCCCUUGCCUGAGUCUACAUUUAUUGCAAAUGCUAGAGAAGCAAUGCCAGUAGGCAGAGUGACAACAGCAAUGGCUAGGGGGAGGGUGAGGAGUCAGCAAGCAGCACCUGCAAAUGGAGAGGAAGCAGCUGAGUCAAGUCAGCAAGCAGCAGCUGCAACAAGACCCAAGAAAAAACAAGCAAGAGGGGGAGGCAGUGUAGGGAGAGGAGCAACAAAUGUUGCAAGAGGAGGAGGAACUACUGGGAGGGGAGGAAGAUAUGGUGCAAGAGGAGGAAGAAGUGCUGGUAGAGGAGGAAGAAAUGGUGCAAGAGGAGGAAGAACUGCAGGUGCUACAUUUGGAGGAAGGGGU
rnacentral:rRNA from 1 species